UUAAAUUGAAGAGUUUGAUCAUGGCUCAGAUUGAACGCUGGCGGCAGGCCUAACACAUGCAAGUCGAACGGUAACAGGAAACAGCUUGCUGUUUCGCUGACGAGUGGCGGACGGGUGAGUAAUGUCUGGGAAACUGCCUGAUGGAGGGGGAUAACUACUGGA
rnacentral:rRNA from 2 species